CCCCGCCCCGCAGCGAGGUCCCGCCCUCCUGCCCCCGCUGACCCCGGCCCCGGGCUUCACGGUCUAGUCUCGGCAGGGGGGGCCCCGCCUCCGCUCCUGGAGCCCCGCGAGGUCCCGCCCUCCUGCCCCGCCCCCCGCCCUCUCCCCCCUGCGGUCACCCCCUGUUCCCCACUGCCCUGCGCCUGCGGGGGCCCUCCCCCCUCUCCCGGAGCCCCGCGAGGUCCCGCGCUCCUGCCCCUCCUGCCCCGCCCUGUGCCCCGCUGCCCCCGCCCUGUGCCCCGCUGUCCCCGCCCUCCUGCCCCUCCUGCCCCCCCCCCGCCCUCCUGCCCCCCCCUCCCCCCCUGCCCCCCCCCCCCCCCCCCCCCCCCCCCCCCCCCCCCCCCCCCCCCCCCCCCCCCCCCCCCCCCCCGCUGUCCCCCUCCUGCCCCUCCUGCCCGCCCCCGCCCUCCUGCCCUCCUGUCCCCGCCCUGCCUCCCGGCUGACCCCUGCAGGCCCCGCCCUCCUGCCCCCGCCCUGCCCUCCGCUGCCCCCUCCUGCCCCCGCCCCCCGCCCUCCUGCUCCCUCCCUGUCCCCCGCUGCCCCCGCCCUGUGCCCCGCUGUCCCCGCCCUCCUGCCCCUCCUGCCCCGCCCCCCGCCCCCGCCCCUCCUGUCCCCCCCUGCCCCCCCCCCCCCCCCCCCCCCCCCCCCCCCCCCCCCCCCCCCCCCCCCCCCCCCCCCCCCCCCCCCCCCCCCCCCCCCCCCCCCCCCCCCCCCCCCCCCCCCCCCCCCCCCCCCCCCCCCCCCCCCCCCCCCCCCCCCCCCCCCCCCCCCCCCCCCCCCCCCCCCCCCCCCCCCCCCCCCCCCCCCCCCCCCCCCCCCCCCCCCCCCCCCCCCCCCCCCCCCCCCCCCCCCCCCCCCCCCCCCUGCCCCCCCCCCCCCCUCCCCUCCUGUCCCCGCCCUGCCUCCCGGCUGACCCCUGCAGGCCCCGCCCUCCAGCCCCCGCCCUGCCCUCCGCUGCCCCCUCCUGCCCCCGCUGCCCCCGCUGCCCCCGCCUGUGCCCCGCCCCCCGCCCUUUCCGCGGACCUCCCCGCGCGCGCUGGCCUCGUCCACGAUGCGCACGAAGCGGUCGAUCUGCUCGGGGGCGGGCGGGCAGAAGUCGGGGAUGCGCAGCCGGUGCAGCGUGAGGCCGGGGCAGCUGUCGCUGUGCGGGGGCCCGCGCUCCGUCAGGGACACCAGGUGCCGCACGCCCUGCUCCCGCAGGAAGCGGUAGUGCGCGGGGAGCCGCGGCAGCGCCAGCCCCGCCAGCCGGCCCGGGAGCACCCACGAGAAGUUGGGGGGCUGCGCGCCCAUCGCCGCGGAAGCGCCCCCCGCGCCCCGCCCCGCCCCCCGCCCGGACCACGUGGGCCCGCCCCGCCCCGCCCCGCCCCGCCCCGCGCGGGGAUUGGCCGAGCCGCCUGGGGGCGGGGCCGCAGCGCCGAGCGGGCCCUGAGUGACGGGCCGGGCGCCGCGGGC
rnacentral:lncRNA from 1 species